AAAAAUUACGGCCAACAACUUUACCUAAUAAAUCAUGAAAGUUCUGCAACUUGCAAACACUCCCUUAGGGCUAUUCAAUAUGAUUUUUUUAUUUAAAGAAAAAAGAAAAAGGGAUCCCUGGAUUUGUCGUGAUUUCACAAGCAAUCUCAUAGCCUAACUCCCAUUCACCUUCUUACAAUCUGCUCUUAUCUCUCCAUUACUUCCAGUUAAUGGACUAAUGUUUCCCAUAUUAAUCAUGGACUGAGCAAAACUCUGGAAGAAGGCAGUUUGGCUGCUACUGAAGCUGUUAACAAUAGCGAUCGUGGCAGCACCUGUGGUCGAAAAUAGUUCCUGAUCAGAUUGAAGAAGGCCCUGAUUAUUCUGCAGGUUCGUGAAAUAGUUAUUGUCAAAACUAUCUGGUGUCGUGGGAUCAAGAUUAGCCAGAGUAGAUCCACUUCCACCCUGUGGACAUGUUUGUUGCAGAGUAGCCAAGUAAGUUGUGUUCAAUGUUGGGUCAGGGCUGCCUGUGCCGCUAAAAUUGAACAGCCGGUUGCUAAAUGUUCGACAUUGAGCACGUCCAAAUGUGUGAGCACCUGAUAAUGCGACAAGAUCAUUGGUGUUUAGACCCACUGCAGAGAACUUAGAAGUAAUGUUGCUUAGACCUUCAAAAGGAGAAGGAAUAGAUGUAUUUGCUCCAGCCUGAUUUGCUGUGAGACUAUCCC
rnacentral:misc_RNA from 1 species